rnacentral:lncRNA from 1 species
AGCACAAGAAAGGAAAUCUCUGGGACACUUGAGGAGACAUUUCAGAGGAGAAAGAGAAUCAAUUUCCAAGUAAUUUGGAAUGGAAGCAAGUCUGGUCGCAUUCUUUAUCUGGGAGCUCCUCUAAAAUCCUCCCAACACCACCAGGGUUUGAUGGUUAGGAGACUUAGCAACAGAAAGAGUAAAAAGAGAAAAUAAGCAGCGAAGCCCAUGCUUCCAUCUCCCCAGGGCAUGCCGAAAUAUUCACUCCUAGUUCUUCUUCAGGUGUCUCCUGAUGCCUAUGGUUUUGAUAUUGCUAUUUUGUCAUCAUUGUUUAAUCUUGGAUCCUGGUUUGCAAACUUGGCUGGACACUAGAACACGCUUCCUGUCUUUCAUUACCCCGUGACCUUUCCUAUCAGCAGCCCGUGGCUGUGAAUUCUUUAUCCCUAGGAACUUGGCUGCCACAAGUGAUUCUGAUGGAAGAUGGAAUGAAGCCGUUGGCUGAGCCAGCAGGUGCAAGCUUCAAGGGAG